rnacentral:tRNA from 1 species
GGGGAUAUAUCUCAGUGACCUGGUGCCUGCCUGGCAAGCAUGAGGUCCUGAGUUUGAUUCCCAGUAUCCCUC